UGGCGACCAUAGCAUUGUGGACCCACCUGAUUCCAUGCCGAACUCAGAAGUGAAACACAAUAGCGCCGAUGGUAGUGUGGGGCUUCCCCAUGUGAGAGUAGGACAUCGCCAGGCU
rnacentral:rRNA from 6 species